CCUACGGGAGGCAGCAGUGGGGAAUUUUGGACAAUGGGCGCAAGCCUGAUCCAGCCAUGCCGCGUGCGGGAAGAAGGCCUUCGGGUUGUAAACCGCUUUUGUCAGGGAAGAAAUCCUUUGAGCUAACACCUCGGGGGGAUGACGGUACCUGAAGAAUAAGCACCGGCUAACUACGUGCCAGCAGCCGCGGUAAUACGUAGGGUGCGAGCGUUAAUCGGAAUUACUGGGCGUAAAGCGUGCGCAGGCGGUCUUGCAAGACAGGUGUGAAAUCCCCGGGCUUAACCUGGGAACUGCACUUGUGACUGCAAGGCUGGUGUACGGCAGAGGGGGAUGGAAUUCCGCGUGUAGCAGUGAAAUGCGUAGAUAUGCGGAGGAACACCGAUGGCGAAGGCAAUCCCCUGGGCCUGUACUGACGCUCAUGCACGAAAGCGUGGGGAGCAAACAGGAUUAGAUACCCUGGUAGUCCACGCCCUAAACGAUGUCAACUGGUUGUUGGACGGCUUGCUGUUCAGUACGAAGCUAACGCGUGAAGUUGACCGCCUGGGGAUCGGCGCAAGUUGAACUCAAGGAUUG
rnacentral:rRNA from 1 species